GCGGUUAGGGACCGGUCUGUAGCCUAUCAGCUAGUUGGUGGGGUAAAGGCCUACCAAGGCUAUGACGGGUAGGGGGCCUGAGAGGGCGAUCCCCCAGAAUGGGACUGCGACACGGCCCAU
rnacentral:rRNA from 1 species